rnacentral:sRNA from 1 species
GUAGAGAUUGGACCUGUAAUCCCAGCACUUUGGGAGGCCAAGGUGGGAGGAUUGCUUAAGCCCUGGAGGUCAAGGCUGCAAUGUGCCAUUGCACUCUAGCCUAGACAACAGAGUGAGACCCUGUCUCAAAAAAAAAAAAAAAUUGGAAAUUUGUCGUAUCUGUGUAGGUAUGUGAUUCUUUGGAUAAAUGAUUCACUGUAUCUUCCUCAAAACUAGGUUAUUUGAAAGACUAAGAUCAUUCAACUGAUUGCACUGACUGCCAACUAAUUUUGCAGGAGAUGUUGCAGUAAAGAUCCUAAAGGUUGUCAACCCAACCCCAGAGCAAUUCCAGGCCUUCAGGAAUGAGGUGGCUGUUCUGCGCAAAACACGGCAUGUGAACAUUCUGCUUUUCAUGGGGUACAUGACAAAGGACAACCUGGCAAUUGUGACCCAGUGGUGCGAGGGCAGCAGCCUCUACAAACACCUGCAUGUCCAGGAGACCAAGUUUCAGAUGUUCCAGCUAAUUGACAUUGCCCGGCAGACGGCUCAGGGAAUGGACUAUUUGCAUGCAAAGAACAUCAUCCAUAGAGACAUGAAAUCCAACAGUAUCCUUUGGUUG